rnacentral:rRNA from 1 species
CCUACGGGAGGCAGCAGUGGGGGAUAUUGCACAAUGGGGGAAACCCUGAUGCAGCGACGCCGCGUGAGUGAAGAAGUAUCUCGGUAUGUUAAGCCCUAUCAGCAGGGAAGAAAAUGACAGUACCUGACCAAGAAGCCCCGGCUAACUACGUGCCAGCAGCCGCGGUAAUACGUAGGGGGCAGGCGUUAUCCGGAUUUACUGGGGGUAAAGGGGGCGUAGACGGUUGUGUAAGUCUGGAGUGAAAGCCCGGGGCCCAACCCCGGGACGGCUUUGGAAACUGGGUAACUGGAGUGCAGGAGGGGCAGGCGGAAUUCGUGGUGUAGCGGUGAAAUGCGUAGAUAUCAGGAGGAACACCGGCGGCGAAGGCGGCCUGCCGGACUGAUACUGACGUUGAGGCUCGAAAGCGUGGGGAGCAAACAGGAUUAGAUACCCCAGUAGUC